UACAGAGGCCUCGAGCGUUAGGCGGAAUCACUGGGCUUAAAGCGUGUGUAGGCGGACUUCUAAGUACCUUGUGAAAUCCCACGGCUCACCCGUGGAACUGCUUGGUAUACUGGUUGUCUUGAGCCUUCUAGGGGCGAGUGGAACAAAUGGUGGAGCGGUGAAAUGCGUAGAUAUCGGAAGGAACGCCGGUGGCGAAAGCGACGUGCUGGACCCUUUCUGACGCUGAGGCGCGAAAGCCAGGGGAGCAAACGGG
rnacentral:rRNA from 1 species